rnacentral:ncRNA from 1 species
UAACGGUCCUAAGGUAGCGAAAUUCCUUGUCGGGUAAGUUCCGACCUGCACGAAUGGCGUAACGACUUCCCCACUGUCUCCAACAUCGACUCAGUGAAAUUGGAUUCCCCGUGAAGAUACGGGGUUCCCGCGGUCAGACGGAAAGACCCUAUGAACCUUUACUAUAACUUUGCAGUGGCAUCACGAUUGUCGUGUGUAGGAUAGGUGGGAGACUUUGAAGCGGGAGCGCUAGCUUUCGUGGAGUCAACGUUGAAAUACCACCCUCGACCUUCUUGAUGUCUAACCAAGAUCCAUUAUCUGGAUCUGGGACCCUGCAUGGCGGGUAGUUUGACUGGGGCGGUCGCCUCCCAAAGUGUAACGGAGGCGCGCGAUGGUAAGCUCAAGACGGUUGGAAAUCGUCUUCAAGAGUGCAAUGGCAUAAGCUUGCCUGACUGCGAGACUGACAAGUCGAGCAGAGACGAAAGUCGGUCAUAGUGAUCCGGUGGUUCCGAAUGGAAGGGCCAUCGCUCAACGGAUAAAAGGUACUCUAGGGAUAACAGGCUGAUAGCGCCCAAGCGUCCCCAGCGACGGCGCUGUUUGGCACCUCGAUGUCGGCUCAUCUCAUCCUGGGGCUGGAGCAGGUCCCAAGGGUAUGGCUGUUCGCCAUUUAAAGAGGUACGUGAGCUGGGUUCAAAACGUCGUGAGACAGUUUGGUCCCUAUCUGCCGUGGGUGUAGGAUAUUUGAGAGGAGCUGUCCUUAGUACGAGAGGACCGGGAUGGACAUACCUCUGGUGUACCAGUUGUUCCGCCAGGAGCAGCGCUGGGUAGCUAUGUAUGGACGGGAUAAACGCUGAAAGCAUCUAAGCGUGAAGCCUCCCUCAAAACAAGAUAUCCCUAUCAGAGCCGUGGAAGACCACCACGUUGAUAGGCUGGAUGUGGAAGGGUAGUAAUACCUGUAGCUAACCAGUACUAAUUGCUCGAUUGGCUUGAAUUC